CACGUAGGGUGCGAGCGUUUAAUCGGAAUUACUGGGCGUAAAGCGUGCGCAGGCGGUUCUGAAAGUCAGCUGUGAAAGCCCCGGGCUUAACCUGGGAACUGCGGUUGAAACUACAGGACUAGAAUCUGGCAGAGGGGGGUGGAAUUCCACGUGUAGCAGUGAAAUGCGUAGAGAUGUGGAAGGAACACCGAUGGCGAAGGCAGCCCCCUGGGCUGAGAUUGACGCUCAGGCACGAAAGCGUGGGGAGCAAACAGG
rnacentral:rRNA from 1 species